rnacentral:lncRNA from 1 species
AGCCACAGCUAGUGGCAUACAAGAGUUCAAAAUACAAUGAAAAAAAAAACAGGAAAUGUAAAGUAUAAUAAAGAUAAUUCAGGAAAGCAAAGGGCAAUGAGACCAUGAUGCCCAAUUUAACUUGUCAAUUUUCCCCCUAUUUUUCACCCAGAGGUAAACCACUGAUUUAAUGAUAUCAGUGACUUUAUCUGGUGGUAGCCAGUUUUUCUUGAAGACCUUUUCGUUCCUUGACUUCCAAAGGCUCCAUAAAGUUCCAUAGUAGAUAGCUGAGAUUAUCUUUCUUCUUUUUUUGCAUACCCUCCAUUUAGAAAUGGAAUCCAAUACAUCCUGAACUGUGUGGAGAGGUCCCAAUUGAAUAUUACACCAUCUUGAUACCCCUUCACAAACACUCCUGGCAUAACUGUAGUCCACCAGGACAUGGUUAGAAUCUUCUUCGUAUUCAUCACACAUGGGGCAAGUCAAAUUUUCCAGAACUACCCCUCUCCUUGCUAACUCCAAAUGUUUAAGUAAUAUAUAAAACUUUACAAACCGGGGUAAAUUAUAAAUUUGAUGUAUAUUAGAGGAGUGUACAUGUAGACACGUAAUUCUAUGCCAAUACACAAAAAAUCGGUGUAUAUAAGACCCUUAAUAAAUGGAUACACUUUUAAUGUAGGUUGGUGAUCAAUUCUUACAAAUGAAAGGAUAAUGAACAUUGGUACAACUUUUAACAAAAUAAAGAAGAAAAUAAAUAAUCAUAACAUCAAUAUAAUUAUAUCUUAAAACUAUUAAAAAAAAUUAAACCGACAUACUGUAGACAAAUUACUCUGUGCUUAUUCUCGUAUAUAUUUUUGAUGGUAUGUUGAAUUAGUUUCUUAUUCCACUUGUACCCCUGUGUCAUAUAUGUCUCCUUUCUUCCACUUCUCAGGUAUUAUAUUAACCGGAACAACCCAUUUUUCAUCUCCAUCUUCACCACUAAAUAGCAUUCUUAAAGACAAUGAUCCACUAGGUGGAGAGUUUGUUGUGAAAACUGAUCCAUAGCUUCUAUCCAACAGUUUACAAACGAAAUUUUUUGUCUGCAUAUAACAAAUAGAAAACUAACACGUGAGAAAUAUCUAGAUAAAUAAUUUUGUUACAUUUUUAUAUAUAUGCUCGAUUGUGAAGUAUUAUUACCUCACAUAGUUGCACAGCAGUAAUGUCGUUUUGGCCUUGUUGGUACCAUAUGACAAAAGCAAGGUAAUACGGGUAGUCACUGCUCUCAUCUAUCUUGAUGGUGAUGUUAUUCUUCGGGUAAUUGCAUGAAACCCUGUGGAGGAGGUGGGAAUUAUUAUUAUUAUUAUUAUUAUUAUUAUUAUAUUUUCUGACAAAUAAUAAAUAAAUAUAUAAAUAAGUUGAUCAAACUUAAUCAUCAUGUUAUGUUACCUUGUAUAUUCAAUAUCUACAACUCCUUGUGAUAGUAAAGAUGUUUCCGCAUAUGUAGAUUGAGCCAUCUUCCUGAAGGCUUUCUUGCUCAUAAUGAAGUCUGUUCCAUGACUGGAUCCUUGGUCAGUUAUAACAACAUUCACUCCUUCAUCUGAACAAUCCUUACUAUUGGUGCACCUCACCUGAUGAUUUAUAAAAACAAAAUUAAAUAAUUUGUUAUAUAAAACAAUAAAAUAUAACUUGGUUACAUAUAUAGUACUGUGUUGUGUUUAUGACCUGGUAACAAGCACCACAGCCUACACCAUCUCUGUAAAGAUCAGAUGCAGCUGCUACAUAUCCAUUGUUAAUCGUUGCUCCAAAUGAGCCAUAUCCACAUCUCCCAGCUUCAAAUUAAAUCAUCAAAGAAUCAUUAAAAACUAUAUAAUUAGAGACGAAAAGCACAAGUUAUAAUUAUAUAUAUGCAUGCAUGUUUAUAUAUAUAUAUAUAUAUGUUUGAGCUCUCACUUUCUGAUCCUUUGUCAUCAGAAUCUGGGUAGUAUGCUGCUCGAGAUUGGAUGAAAGGGCCAUCUGAUGUGGCACUUUGUGCUGGAUUUAUCACAGAAAAGAUAAAUGCAGAAACUAUGAAGAGGAUAUCAAGAGACAAUGCCAUUUUGGGAAUCUAGAUUUUUAUAUAACUUAUACAGAAGAAGGAAAUGGAUGUUAAUGGAGAGAAGUUUGGUUUUGUAUUGAAGCAAACAAAUUAUUGUUUGUGGUAUUUAUAGUGAAUGAAAUGAGUUUGUGGUUGGUAGUAUUUUCUUAUGCUUUGACACUUUGUGUUGAAUUUCGUUUGUUCCUCUCAUCAACUUGCUUGGAUAUGGAAACUACAUGGAAACACUUUGAUGAUGACUUCAAUUCUGCUGCAUAUUGAAACAGGUGGCUGAAAUUUCAAUUACAAAAAAGUGCUUGUCAUUUUCAUGUAUGGAUGAAGUAUAUAUAUAGGUAUAUUAGUCAUAUAUUUGAUGUUUAAUCUCAGGGACCAUUUUUUUAUUGGUUUACACGUUUUGAAAACUUGGACCCGAGCUUGGCAAACAAGACUGAGAUUGAUAAUAUUUUGUGCAUUAGACAAAGAAAGAGGGCUGCUAAAGAAAUCUUAUUUUGAAAACAAAAAAAGAUUUUUUAAAAUGGAAGUAAAACAGUGAGGGGGAAGUUAGGUGCUUUAGCACUAAGUAUGUAUAUUCAACUUAAGCCUAUACUCAUAUUCCCAUUUGUGCUAAUAAUUACAGUAGGCCCUAAUUAGCUUCCUGGAUGAGGAAAUAUAAAGUAUUAUAUUUUUUUUUUGCCUUUUUGUUCAAAUGGAAUAUCCAUAUUAUAAGGGUGUUCAAAGAUAUAAAAAGGUUUUUUUCAAUUCCAAAAGAAGACUAACUAUAUAUUAAUAUUGAAAUUUACUUUUUAAUCUAGGUGUCUAAUGUAAACUCAUUCAUUUGAAGAUAUGCUGUUUUAAAAAAUGCAUAAAGAAGAGGUGUUGGUAUGUUAUCUUGAAGCCACUAUUUGUUGAGUUUUCCUUUUUACUGUUGAAUUUUGCUAAGGAACAACUAGGGCUACUGAGAAAGAUGAAGACAUAACGAAAAGCCACUCAACAACAUCAAUCGUGACCACUUUGGGGCUAGUUAGGUUUUACUUUUAGUCUAUUAUUCGUAAUAAUAUUUUGUAGAGGCAAUUACUAAUCUAACCUAAUUAAGGAAGUAAUUAAUUAUUUUUAGCUAAAAAUUAGGAAUUAUUCUAAAAUAGCCCACGAAACCGUAGGUAAUUAGAAUGGACUACUGUUUCGCCAAAUAGUCUACCGUUUUAUUAUUAUUAUUAUUAUUAUUAUUAUUUUUCAUUUUGAACCUCUAAAACCAUAGGUUUUUUGGAAACCUAAGGUUUCUUUUUAGCCACCAAAAAACUUACGGUUUCGUUAAUUUUUUUUUUUUUUAAAUUUUUACAAAAAAUUAUGAAAUCAGAACAUAUAUAUGAUGGCUUACGAGGUUACAACUAAUUAAAAAGAAAAUGAAAAAAACCGUAGGCUUCAUACGAAGCCUACGGUGUACAAGUCCACACUGCAAAAUCUGUGCAUUGUGCCCUUGUUAUGAAACCUACGAUUUUAAUAUUUUUUUUCGUUUUUUUUUAAAAGGUUGACCCCAUAUACAAAGACAACUCCUAAUCAACAAUACGAUAAAAUUUUGAUAAAAAAUGGAUGUACCUUGUUGUUCUUCGGGUGCUCCAUUGAGAGAAAAAAAGUAGGUAAAACCAAGAAAACAAUAGUCAAAAUAACCUAAUCUGAAAAAUUAUACAUUAUAUACUAUGGGCCAACAGGCCACGAAAGAGUAGACGGACGGGGAAACACUAGCCAAUUGUCACGAAAGAGUAGUUUUCUACCGUUGACCGUAGUCAACAAUGACAAAUCUACUAUUUCAUGGGCUACUUUUAGCUAAUGUGUUUUUUUGGCUAUUUUUAAAUAGGUAAUUAGUGUUUUAGGCUAGAUUAGUAAUUUCCUCUAUUUUGUAUAUAUUGGUAAUCAAUUUAAUUUGUGGACUUUCCGUUGACCUCAUUGCCGCCAAGACUUAGGUAGUGUUUGUUUUUUGUCCGCAGAUCUGCGUGACCUCUUCUGUCCGCGCCGCGUAGACCACGCGCAGACAUUAGCCUUCGCAGACUGUUUGUUUUUUUGAAGACUGCAGACCUAAAAAUGUCUGCGCGCCCUCUUCUUGGCGCAGACGUGGACCAUAGUCUUCUAACAUCUUCAGACAUCUUCUAGCCUAAAAAAACAUAUAUAUCUUUAUUUUUUUCAAGUUUUUUUAUUUAUUUUUAUUUUUUUUUAUUUUUUUAAAUUUAUAUUUUUUCCAACUUUAUUAAUGAUGAACAAUUUGAAAAAAAAAAUUAUAAAACUUAAAAAAACGUUCGACGAUACAAACAUUAUAUUUUUGACAAAUUUAUUAUAAUAAUAGUCGUUGAAGUUGUUUAUAUAAAUAUGACAAAAAAAUCAUAAUAUAUUCUUAUAUUUUUUGCCAAAUUUUGUAAAACAUUAUUUAAUACAAUAUCGUCAAUUUGUCGAGAAAAUAUUUAUGGUACUUUUUUAAUGGAUUUAAUUGAAAAAAUCAAAGUUUAUUUGCAUCCAUUUAUGUAUCAAAUUUUUUGAUCACUAAUUAUAAUGUUACUUAUAACUUUGCAACAAAAGUUGUUGGUUAUUAUAAAAUAUAUACGUUAAUUUAUAUCAUUUUUAUUUUUAUUUUUUAUACAAUAAUACAUAAAAGUUGAUAUAGAUUCGUUGAUUAUUUAUAAAAAAAGUCAUAAAAAUAUUAAAAAAUCACUUUGAAGUUUAAAAAAAUCAGUUUAUUUAGAUUUCAGUUUAUUUUAAUAGCCCGUAGAUAUUAAAAAAACAAACAGUCUUCUUUUUUUCAAACUGCAGACGUUUGGUCCACCUCUUCUACUGAAGAGGUCUACAGAUGUGGUCCGCAGACUGCAGACAUUUUGCCUCAGAAAAAACAAACAACACCUUAGCAAUGAGGUUUUGCGUGUGCAAAGCUCCGAUGCUCGAACCAAAGAGCCACAACCCACAUCUGAUGGUUAUGUUUUGGGCUUUUUGGGCCUGGCCCACGAGCAGUUAUAGGUCAACUUUUUUCAAUAUAAAGAUAAUAAGAGAUCUCAAUGUACCUAUGUAACUCUACGCCUAAAAAUGUGUUUGACGCUUAUGAAUCUAUCAAAUGUCUCUAGCAUGUCUAUGGAUGUAAUACGAUUAAUCGUGUGAACCACGUAAAUCCUUGUAAUCAUAAUUUUCCUUUACAUCUUUAUUGUGUAUUUAUCACAUAUUUAAUCCUAACAAAUCAAUGGUAGAUAUCUUCACAAGGAUAUCAUAAUCUAAACCCACUUCAACAUGUGAUAUGGCCUAAUGGCAUGCUACCCCAAUGAUUAACUCGACAAGUUACGUAUAACUGCCACAGUCAGUAGCCCGCCCGACUGCCGGUGAACUCAAGUUUCCAGUUAAAUCAAGGAGCCGCUUCAAUCAGUGGUUAGCUCUAGUGGCUUAGUUCGAUGCAGUCAACACACGAGACCAAUCAACGACAACUCACGCAUUUUGUGGUACCUAUUGUGAUCUCCACUGUCCAACUAGAUGGUAAGGGAUCCUUUACUUCAUAAAUCCAAUAAAGGUUUCAGGGCCGGUCCUGAGGAAUUAAAUAUCAUCAAAGGCCCUAGACGAGCCAGGAAAAAAAGACCAUUAUCGUUAUUAUAAGUUUUUAUUUUUAAAUAAAAAUAUAUAACAAAACAAAUUGGGCCCUAUGCAGCUGCCCACUUUGCCCCCUCCCCCAACGCCCCUGAUGAAACGUUUACCCUUGCCAUAUGUGCAUGGGACAACUUAUUUCCUCACUUUCUAGUUCUAUCUUUUAUUCCAAACAUUUUACUUUGAGAGUAGAUUCUUAUUCAUAUUAACUUCGAAUUAAACAUCUAAUACAUUAUUACAAAACUUUCUUUCCAUCAAAUGUUAUAGAAAUGGAUCACAAUUAUCUAAAUUUACAUGUGACCAAAGCCGGAAAAAGUUAUAGUUAAAGAAAAAUCAUGUUUUUCCAACAUGUAUGUUAAUUUGGUAAAUAAAAAAAAUUCCUUGGUAGAAGCUAACUGCAUAUUUGGAUGUUGAUGGUCACUAAAUUUUUGAUGCAUUUCUAGUUUCACUAUCUCCGCUUUAGAAGAAUGUAGGUUUAUGGACAUGAUCGACAAAUGUUAUUAAUAACCAGGGCUUUUGAAAUAAGUCUUUAAAUUUGUUAAAUUUUAUCGGUUUUAUCCAUGUGUCAAUUUUUUGUUCGUUAAUGUCCAAAGUUUCUUAUUUUUUUCAAUUUUAUCACUGUUACAUGUAAUAGCAGGUUUUCAUGGACAAAAUCGAAAAAAUAUGACAAAAUUAAGGAUUUUCAUGUCAAAUUGGAAACUAUAUUUAGGGUAAAAACAUAAAAGAUUUGUUAAAGUAAGUUUUUUUUUUUUUUUUUUUUUUUUUUUUUUUUUUUUUUUUUUUUNUUUUUUGCAAAUUUGAUUUCAUAAUUAAGGUUUUCUUUUGCAAGUUUCGGGCAAAAAUGAUUUCUUUUUGGCAAACUUCAGGCAUUAACACGAACCUAAAAUUGUUGCGGGAAUAAAACCAUCAUAUUUUGACAAAUUUAAAGACUUUUAUGUCAAAAGCCCUAAUAACUAAUGAGUAAAGAACAACAAACACUUUGCCAAUAACAAAGUUUACCAAAGAUUGAUAAACUAGGUUAAAAUGAAAUUGUCCAAAUGAUCUAAAUUCUUCAAAUGACUUGAUAAUACAUAAUAACACCUCCAAUCAAAGGUAAAUCACUUACAUAUAGAAUUGAAUCGACAAUCAAUAAAACAAUAAAGAAUAGGGACAAACACACGAAGAUUUACAUGGAAUACCCAAAUCGGGAUAAACCACAAUGCAGGAGACCACCUAGAGAUCCACUAGUGAUAAUAAAGUUUACAAUGCGAAGGAACCGGAGAAAAUACAAGAAUUUGGGGCUAUUAUUAUGGUGAUUUAAAAAAACCAAAUAAGUCACUAAAACCGUUAGUGUUCAAAGCAGUUUCGUGUAAUUCUUGUGAGAAUUAGUUGAAGUUGCCCGAAUCCAUAAGUGUUGCUCAUCGAUGCCUCCAAGCGGUUUCGUAGCUAGCUUGCGAGAAUUUAUUCAAGUGGCUUGAACCAUCAAAUGUGAGUUUUUAGUAGGGGUGACAAUUCUCAACCAACCCGUAAUCCGAUUAGAAAAUAAAUGGGUUUAUGUUGAUAUCUCUAACCCGCCAACUCGUUUAUUUCAUGGGUUGGGUUGGGUUGGAUUACCUAUUUGGGUUCACGGGUCAACCUGCCAACCCGACUAUAUAUAUUAUACUUUAAAAUAAUUAAAAAAAUAUUUAUGAAUCAAUGAAAUAUACGACACAAUUGUACUUUCCAUAAAUGUUUUCAUUUUCAUUUGGAUUUUUAUGAGUUUAUGAAUUUAUGAUUCUAUGUUGGAAUUUUUUUUUGUUCCAAAUUAUUGCUUAUUAAGUUAUCACGUUAGAUUCGUAGUUGGUUGUUCAUUUCAUUCUAGUAAUUUACAAAUGCUAAUUAUUAAUUAAUUUAGAAACAUAUAUAACUCGUAUAAAUUUAACAUGUGAAAAGUUAUCCGAAAAUGACUCAUUGACCCGCGAACCCACAAACUUAUAUAUACUUAAACGAGUUAUAUAGGUUGGGUUGGAUUGUGUUGAUAUUUCCAACCCGUUAACCCAUAUAUUAUAUGGGUUGGGUUGGAUCAAUCUAUCAAUGACCCAUCAACCCGCCACAGGUCAUUUUUAACAACAUCAAACGAUGUUUGUAGUAACAUCUUGAAACCACUUCCAUCCACUCAGCCAGAAUCAUGGUAGCCCGGUGGUGACUUUGGGAUUCAAGCACUCCAAAUUCCAAAUGGAGUUUGCCCAGCUUCGAAUUCCACUAACUUUAUCCGUGAGGUGGCAUGCCGUUCUAAUAAAUAAAUAAAAAAAGACUACCUCGAUCGCUCCUUAGCCCAGGGAUCGAUAUUGCAUUUGAGAAGCAUCACAUCAACAUCACUGCUUUUGCCUUAAAGACAACUUUUUGUAUCCACAAAUCAUAUUAAAAGAUAAGAUUUUUAUCCGUUAAAAUAACCUUUUUUCUAAUCCCCCACUUAUUUCCACACAAUGAUUUCUUUAUUCCAUUAUGUUUUAUCUGAAGGCAACCAAACAUGUACACCUGUCACAUGCUUAAAAUAAAUGGAUACACUUUUACUGUAGCUUGGUCAAUUGUUACAGAGUACAGGAUAACGAAUUAAACUGGUACAACUUUUAAACAAAAAAAAGAAGAGAAUAAAUAACCACAACAUCAAUACUUAUGAUAAUCUCUUAACACUAUCCUACAAUCCAAUAAUAAACUUCUGGUAUUUUGAUGGUAUGAUGAAUUAGUUUCUUAUUCCACUUGUACCCCUGUGUCAUAUAUGUCUCCUUUCUUCCAAUUCUCAGGUAUUAUAUUAACCGGAACAACCCAUUUUUCAUCUCCAUCUUCACCACUAAAUAGCAUUCUUAAAGACAAUGAUCCACUAGGUGGAGAGUUUGUUGUGAAAACUGAUCCAUAGCUUCUAUCCAACAGUUUACAAACGAAAUUUUUUGUCUGCAUA